GGGGUGCACCAGGCGCGAAAACUUUACAAUGCGGGAAACCGUGAUAAGGGGACACCGAGUGCCAGCAUCAUAUGCUGGCUGUCCAGGUGUGUAAAAUACACCUGUUAGCAAGGGCCGGGCAAGACCGGUGCCAGCCGCCGCGGUAACACCGGCGGCCCGAGUGGUGAUCGUGAUUAUUGGGUCUAAAGGGUCCGUAGCCGGUUUGGUCAGUCCUCCGGGAAAUCUGACGGCUCAACCGUUAGGCUUUCGGGGGAUACUGCCAGGCUUGGAACCGGGAGAGGUAAGAGGUACUACAGGGGUAGGAGUGAAAUCUUGUAAUCCCUGUGAGACCACCUGUGGCGAAGGCGUCUUACCAGAACGGGUUCGACGGUGAGGGACGAAAGCUGGGGGCACGAACCGGAUUAGAUACCCGGGUAGUCCCAGCCGUAAACGAUGCUCGCUAGGUGUCAGGCAUGGCGCGACCGUGUCUGGUGCCGCAGGGAAGCCGUGAAGCGAGCCACCUGGGAAGUACGGCCGCAAGGCUGAAACUUAAAGGAAUUGGCGGGGGAGCACAAGGGCGAAUCGCG
rnacentral:rRNA from 1 species